UCUGCCUUAGCUUUGCUUUGGCUGUUUCUCUUUUGCGUUGUUAUUGCACACGCGUACGUGGAAAGGGAAAGACAGAACGAAUGCUCUCUUAGAUUAAUGGCCACGGCUGAGGUUGAAGAGAGUAAAAAACGUGAGCAAGCUGAAGUAAUAGAAUCCAAGGGAGCCAAGUGAAAGUUGUCUUCCUCUGCCAGAAAAAGGGAAAGCCCGUUCCUCCUGGCGAGGAAGGAGCCCCAUUAAUAGCGAUCCGAAUAAUAGAUCGCCAGCGUAUAACGGAAGGUCUGUAUGCAUUACGAGAAGUGCUCUGCGGACAUGUGUCUCCAUGUGUGUGACUUUACGUGCCUGUGAAGCGUCAUACUUCACGAGCUGCAAGACAGCAAGUUAUUAUCUUGGGGGAGUGGUGGUCAAGUGACCAGAGCUACUGAAGAGGAAGGGAGGGAGAGAAGGGUCUGAAGUGUAAAACUGAGAGAUCGAUUUCAGGAAGGCUCAAUCAGCGCAAGCCCCGGGUUGGUUACCUGGCAAUGGUAUUUGGGGAGACGGGAUGACAGUAGAUAGGUUGAAGCCUCAUGGAAUUAAGGCUCCUUCUCACCGGUUCCCGCUUAGAGCAAUUGUAGGAGGAUUUAGUUUCCUCCAGCAGCAUUAAGGUGGCUUUGCCGGUGUCAGCAGACCGUGGUGGAAAGUACUGGGAGGGAGUCGGGAAGGGAGCUGGGACGAGGAACGUGACUCUGCUUUCACUGAACUGGAAGAAGUGGCUAUAAAACCUGCUGCCCUCAAAUUCCCAGGACAAGGAAAGCCUUUUUCGGUAAUGCUUUCCACAUCUGCUGACUGCGUGGGAGCAGCACCGCUAGAAAACGGCAGUAAAGGAAAGCGGGUGCCGGUCGCCUCACCUUUACGUCCCCUUUGGGGGUGGAACAAAAAGUCUCUGGCUGUGAGAAAGACUGUUCAGCAGCGAUGUGGGCUGUAACCGUCUUUGAGACUUUUAGCUUUGAUCGCGCAGGGGCCAUCCAAUCUAUUCAGUUCCCUCUAAAAUAAUCACGUCAGGGAAAUGAAGAGACAGCGGAGUAUCAUCUAUCCGAGUGGCGCAGUGGGCGCUGAUCUUAACGAGCGGGGGCAGGGGGGCAGUUGCUGUGCAAGUGUUACAAGCAGUGGCUCUUCUUGUGCGCGUCUGAAUUGACUGAGGGGCAGAGCACGGUUGCGCCAAAAACGCGGACGCAGGAGGUUUCCGAGAGGUUGAUCUCUAGCGGCUACUUAGUCUGACUUCCCUUUCGCGGCAAGCCCGACUGUCUUCAUAGCUCUCAGAACAGGGGUUAGGGGAAGCGGUGCUUGUGGCUUGCGUAUUCUUGUUUACCUUGCUUGAGUGUGUAUAUUGGAUCCGCUUUUGUGCUUAUAAACAACUUUGGAUUCUUAUGAUUUUCUGCAGAGCUUUGAUCUUUUUCUUUUUUUCUUUUUCUUCUCGGUUUGUUUUUUUUUUUUUUUUUGCUUUGCUCCCUCCCUGAUGGAUUUUACUAUGCCUCCGUCAACGAGCCCUGGCUGGCAAAGUUGCUGUGUCCCAGCGGAGACUCUUAGGCGAGAUGGAGGAGUUCAGAUCCGCAGCCUGCCAGAAGAACGUCGCCCAGGAGAGGUUGCUAGCCUCGAGCUAUAGGCGCUGGCGUUCAGGACCUCGGGGAACGACUGUGUGCUGCCGUGAAGAACUACAGGCUACCACCGCUCUCGGACCUUUGUAAGUUAUCACGCGUCGAGAGCUUCCAGGAGAAUUCAAAUGCCAGCAGAAAGGUUCUCCGCCCGGUCCCGACGAGGAGGCUUCGGCCACAGGAAGGUCGGCAGUGUCCUUACCGGACUCGCGGGAUGCUGUUCUGAGGGCCAGCAACUCGAAGGGAUGCAGCUCGGCCCUUUUUGUUGACUUUGGUGAUGCUGUUUUGAGGAAGCAUGUGCCGAAGCCCAGUUGGGCAGUCGAAGGAGCCUUGUCACAGCUGGGAGCUCUGCAGAGAUGCGCGGCUGGCCAUGGAGAGUGAGCUCUGACUUGCAGCGUGGACACAGCUAAGUCCUGGGCUGCAUCAUAUGUGAGCAGUGCUGGGAGGUGCGAGGUGAUUGUUCCCUAGGUGGUCACUGGUGUCACUGGCUGUGGAUGUUUGCCCAUGGAGCUGAGAGGACCAAAAAUAUUAAUUGUCUGACCCGGAGAUGAAUUAGUGCUUGCAGUGCUUCAGG